AGAACGAACGCUGGCGGCAGGCUUAACACAUGCAAGUCGAACGCUCGUAGCAAUACGAGAGUGGCAGACGGGUGAGUAACGCGUGGGAACAUACCCUCCGGUUCGGAAUAGCUCAGGGAAACUUGGAUUAAUACCGGAUACGGCUGAGAGGCGAAAGAUUUAUCGCCGGAGGAUUGGCCCGCGUUCGAUUAGCUUGUUGGUGAGGUAACGGCUCACCAAGGCGAUGAUCGAUAGCUGGUCUGAGAGGAUGAUCAGCCACAUUGGGACUGAGACACGGCCCAAACUCCUACGGGAGGCAGCAGUGGGGAAUAUUGGACAAUGGGCGCAAGCCUGAUCCAGCCAUGCCGCGUGAGUGAUGACGGCCUUAGGGUUGUAAAGCUCUUUCGCUCGGGACGAUAAUGACGGUACCGAGAUAAGAAGCCCGGCUAACUUCGCGCCAGCAGCCGC
rnacentral:rRNA from 1 species